rnacentral:tRNA from 1 species
UAGGGAGACCAUCUGAUAAUAGACCGAACCUAAAAUAUAGGUCGUUGUCAGUCAUCCCUGGUCGUUCGAGGAAUAGAUGUCAAAGCUUUCAAACUAUUAACUGGUUCGGAACUCGCGGGCUAUUAGCUCAGUUGGUUAGAGCGCACCCCUGAUAAGGGUGAGGUCCCUGGUUCAAAUCCAGGAUGGCCCACCUGGAAAAAAAGUGAUGAAUUGUCAGUAAUGAGAAAUGGAUAAUCAAAGAUUAAUUCAGGACUCAUAAAAUCAAAAUCAGAACUUACAAGUGUGGGGGUAUAGCUCAGUUGGUAGAGCGCCUGCCUUGCACGCAGGAAGUCAGCGGUUCGAGUCCGCUUACCUCCACUCUCACUAACUAUUACAACCGCCAAAAAAACCCAAAAAAAUAGAAAUCAGCACCCAGACUAACUUUGUCAAAGAAGGUCAAAAAAGAAGUCGGAAUGCUGGAGUCUAAAACUCUAGUCAGAACCUUGAAAACUGCAUAGAAAUUAAGUCAUCAAAGCGUGUCUAUCAUCCGAGAAAUCGGAGCAUCAGACAAGCGACCACCAUGAAAAAAUCAAGU